rnacentral:rRNA from 1 species
GCGUUGUUCGGAUUCAUUGGGCGUAAAGGGUGCGUAGGUGGCGCCGUAAGUCGGGUGUGAAAUUUCGGAGCUUAACUCCGAAACUGCAUUCGAUACUGCGGUGCUUGAGGACUGGAGAGGAGACUGGUAUUCAUGGUGUAGCAGUGAAAUGCGUAGAGAUCAUGAGGAAGACCAGUGGCGAAGGCGGGUCUCUGGACAGUUCCUGACACUGAGGCACGAAGGCGAG